rnacentral:rRNA from 1 species
GAUGAACGCUGGCGGCGUGCUUAAUACAUGCAAGUCGAGCGAACAGACGAGGAGCUUGCUCCUCUGACGUUAGCGGCGGACGGGUGAGUAACACGUGGAUAACCUACCUACAAGACUGGGAUAACUUCGGGAAACCGGAGCUAAUACCGGAUAAUAUAUUGAACCGCAUGGUUCAAUAGUGAAAGACGGUUUUGCUGUCACUCAUAGAUGGAUCCGCGCCGCAUUAGCUAGUUGGUAAGGUAACGGCUUACCAAGGCAACGAUGCGUAGCCGACCUGAGAGGGUGAUCGGCCACACUGGAAGUGAGACAGGGUCCAGACUCCUACGGGAGGCAGCAGUAGGGAAUCUUCCGCAAUGGGCGAAAGCCUGACGGAGCAACGCCGCGUGAGUGAUGGAGGUCUUCGGAUCGUAAAACUCUGUUAUUAGGGAAGAACAAAUGUGUAAGUAACUGUGCACGUCUUGACGGUACCUGAUCAGAAAGCACCGGCUAACUACGUG